rnacentral:lncRNA from 1 species
AGCGACCCAGCCCCUUUCCCUUUUCUUUCCUUCACAAUUCAGAACCUUGCACUGCCCUCAACCAAAAAACCCCUAGCCAACUAGCCUCCACUGCCGCCCCAAAGAGUGGGACACUGCUGCCGUCCGUCGCACUCAGGAGCUUCCCUGUUCGCUCUCACCGAUCGCAGCUUCUUCCUCGAGGUCAGCUCGGCGUUCGUCGUCUUCCGUCUGCUAAGCCGCGUUCUUCAUCUUCGUCUUCUUCCUUUCAAUCUCUCUGAUAUGUUCUACCCAAAUAGAGCCUUAAUUUGAUUGUGUAUGAUUAAACCUUGUUACUUUAUGAAAGAAUCAACUACUUAACAUUCUGGAGUCUUAAUUUUCUUGUACCAGAGACAAUUUUUUAUAUAUGCCCAAUAUAAUUUUCUUUGCUUUUGUGAUUCUGUUUUCUUCUAUGAAUCAAUGUUUAUUUGAAGGUAGCUUGUUAGGUUCUCUAUUUUGUUUGAUUGUGAUGUAUUUUACUUGGUGUUAGUAUUUUGUGAUACUAUGGAACAGAACAGAAUGUAUCAGAUUGAGCUGAAAGUAGGGUUAUAUUUGGAAGAUGGAAUAAUCAUUCAUGUUUGGAUGUUUGUAUUAGAGGUAGCCAAAAAUUAAUUUUGAUUUAUUGAUGCCCACAGGUUUUGAAGUUAUCAUGUGCUCUGGCACUUGUGUAAUUUGAUGAUUGCCUGUUACUGCUACUUUGAAUGUUCAUUUCAGCGUGUG